UACGGGGGGGGCAAGCGUUGUUCGGAAUUACUGGGCGUAAAGGGCUCGUAGGCGGCCAACUAAGUCCGACGUGAAAUCCCCAGGCUUAACCUGGGAACUGCGUCGGAUACUGGAUGGCUUGAAUCCGGGAGAGGGAUGCGGAAUUCCUGGUGUAGCGGUGAAAUGCGCAGAUAUCAGGAGGAACACCGGUGGCGAAGGCGGAUCUCUGGGCCUUACCUGACGCUGAGGCGCGAAAGCUAGGGGAGCAAACAGG
rnacentral:rRNA from 1 species